CCCUAUGGGGUGCAGCAGGUCUUGGAGUUGCUCUUCUGGCUGUUUGGGAAGCCAAUACAUCUCUGAAUGAAGAGAUCAUCAAGACCGGAGAACAUACUGGGAAAACGCUCACAGGUAUGCGAGGGCUUACCAAAGAUCUUCAAGCCAUUCUUUCGGUUACAGGGGCUGGGGGAGGUUUAACGAAAGGUCUUGGCAAAGUCGUUCCGGGGUGGGACAUUAGGCACGGGAAUGAAGAAGAUGAAGCUAUCUGGAGGGACAGGAAUGCUCAAGCUUGGAAAGAGUAUGAUUCUCAGCUUCCCGCUUAUGAAGACCCCACCAAGGUGUUUGAGGCUUAUGCAAAGAAAUUGGGAGACAGGCUUGCUCUCCUUACAGAGAAGACCGCAGAAUACAAGGACGAGAUCGACAGGCUGAUUCCUGUAACGAAGGAAUUGGCGGGAGGGC
rnacentral:rRNA from 1 species